ensembl:lncRNA
GGACAGGGACAGGGGCUGGCACGGCACGGGGGCAGCACGGGGACAGGGGCACUGCUGAGGGUGGGGUCCCGGGCGGGGGGACAGGGGACAUGGCACAGGAAAGGAAUGGGGACAGGGGACAUGGCACGGGGACAGUGGCACAGUAAGGGUGUGGGGACAGGGGACACGGCACAGGAAAGGAAUAGGGACAGGGGACAGUGGCACAGUAAAGGUGUGGGGACAGGGGACAGUGGCACAGGGACAGUGGCACCGGAAAGAUGUGGGGACAUGGGGACAUGGCACAGGGACAGUGGCACAGUAAGGGUGUGGGGACAGGGGACAUGGCACAGGAAAGGUUGGGGACAGGGGACAUGGCACGGGGACAGUGGCACAGUAAGGGUGCGGGGACAGGGGACAGUGGCACAGGAAAGGAAUGGGGACAGGGGACAUGGCACGGGGACAGUGGCACAGUAAGGGUGUGGGGACAGGGGACAUGGCACGGGGACAGUGGCACAGGAAAGGUUGGGGACAGGGGACAUGGCACAGGAAAGGUUGGGGACAGGGGACAUGGCACGGGGACAGUGGCAUGGAACAAGGCGAGGACAGGGGACACUGCCACCACCACAUGGGGACAGGGGAAUGGGGACACAGGGCAUGGCAGGGGGACAGGGACACUGGAGCUGGCACGGCAUGGGGACACAGGGUGACAGCACAGGGCAGGGACACCGGCUGCUGGCACGGGACAGAACCUCGGGGCGCUGGCAGGGCAGGGGCACGUGGCAGAGGGACGGGGACAGGGGACACGGGACAUGGCAGAGGGACAGGACAGGGGACACGGGACAUGGCAGAGGGAUGGGGACAGGGACACGGGACAUGGCAGAGGGACAGGACAGGGACACAGGACAUGGCAGAGGGAUGGGGACAGGGACACGGGACAUGGCAGAGGGACAGGACAGGGACACAGGACAUGGCAGAGGGACAGGACAGGAUGAUGGCAGGGCGUGGGGACAGGAAACGGCAGAGGGAUGGGACAAGGGACACGGCAGGCGGAUGGGACAGGGUGGUGGCAGGGCGGGGACACAGGGGACACGGAGGAGGGACAGGACAAAGGAGCUGGCACUGGGAUGGGGACAGGGAUGGGACAGGGGACACGAUACAGGGAUGGGGACAGAGGACAGGGCACUGGGAUGGGGACAGGGGACAGGGAUGGGACAGGGGACACGAUACAGGGAUGGGGACAAGGGACAGGGAUGGGACAGGGGACACGAUACAGGGAUGGGGACAAGGGACAGGGCACUGGGAUGGGGCAGGGGACACAGCACAGGGAUGGGGACAGGGGACAGGGCACUGGGAUGGGGACAAGGGACAGGGAUGGGACAGGGGACACGAUACAGGGAUGGGGACAAGGGACAGGGCACUGGGAUAGGGACAGAGCAGGGACAUGAGCAGAGGACGUGGCAGAGAGGUUGGGGACAGGAACACAGCAUGGGGCAGUGGCACAGGACUGGGGAUGUCACACCUGGCACAUGUCCCCCCACAGCCCAAUUUUGGGGACACUGUCCCCCCACAGCCCAAUUUUGGGGACACUGUGCCCUCACAGCCCAAUUUUGGGGACACUGUCCCCUCUCAGCCCAAUUUUGGGGACACUGUCCCCCCACAGCCCAAUUUUGGGGACACUGUCCCCCCACAACCCAAUUUUGG